ensembl:snoRNA SNORA74 Small nucleolar RNA SNORA74
UCCAGCUGUGGGCAUCUGCAUAGGUUGAUUGUACCUAGCAAGUGUUACACUGCUGGGAAAAAUGCAACCAAUAGUUGGCAGGCAUUCUGGACCUGAUUAAUGCCAAAUUUGUAUUAACUAUGCUAGUGUGCCAACAUA